rnacentral:rRNA from 1 species
AGAAUUAAGCCAUGCAUGUCUCAGUGCAAGCCGUAUUAAGGCGAUACCGCGAAUGGCUCAUAUAUCAGUUUUGGUUCCUUAGAUCUUACUCAGUUACUUGGAUAACUGUGGUAAUUCUAGAGCUAAUACAUGCAAUCAGAACUCUGACCAGUGAUGGGAUGAGUGCUUUUAUUAGAUCAAAACCAAUCGACGGAGGGCCUCGCGUCCGAAGUCGUUAAUUUUGAUGAAUCUGGAUAACUUUUGCCGAUCGCAUGGUCCAGUACCGGCGACGCAUCUUUCAAAUGUCUGCCUUAUCAACUUUCGAUGGUAGUUUCUGCGACUACCAUGGUUGUCACGGGUAACGGGGAAUCAGGGUUCGAUUCCGGAGAGGGAGCCUGAGAAACGGCUACCACAUCCAAGGAAGGCAGCAGGCGCGCAAAUUACCCACUCCCGGCACGGGGAGGUAGUGACGAAAAAUAACGAUACGGGACUCUUACGAGGCCUCGUAAUCGGAAUGAGUACACUUUAAAUAUUUAACGAGGAUCAAUUAGGCAGGGCAA